CAGCAGUGGGGAAUAUUGCACAAUGGGCGGAAGCCUGAUGCAGCGACGCCGCGUGAGGGAUGACGGCCUUCGGGUUGUAAACCUCUUUCGACAGGGACGAAGCGCAAGUGACGGUACCUGUAGAAGAAGCACCGGCCAACUACGUGCCAGCAGCCGCGGUAAUACGUAGGGUGCGAGCGUUGUCCGGAAUUACUGGGCGUAAAGAGCUUGUAGGCGGUUCGUCGCGUCGAUUGUGAAAACUUGCAGCUCAACUGCAAGCUUGCAGUCGAUACGGGCGGACUAGAGUACUUCAGGGGAGACUGGAAUUCCUGGUGUAGCGGUGAAAUGCGCAGAUAUCAGGAGGAACACCGGUGGCGAAGGCGGGUCUCUGGGAAGUAACUGACGCUGAGAAGCGAAAGCGUGGGUAGCGAACAGGAUUAGAUACCCUGGUAGUCCACGCCGUAAACGGUGGGUACUAGGUGUGGGUUUCCUUCCACGGGAUCCGUGCCGUAGCUAACGCAUUAAGUACCCCGCCUGGGGAGUACGGCCGCAAGGCUAAAACUCAAAGGAAUUGACGGGGGCCCGCACAAGCGGCGGAGCAUGUGGAUUAAUUCGAUGCAACGCGAAGAACCUUACCUGGGUUUGACAUACACCAGUAAAGCUGCAGAG
rnacentral:rRNA from 1 species